GCUGGGCGUGGUGGCUCACGUCUGUAAUCCCAGCCCUUUGGGAGGCUGAGGUGGGUGGAUCACUUGAGGUCAGGAGUUCGGGACCAGCCUGGCCAACAUGGUGAAACCCCGUCUCUA
ensembl:misc_RNA Metazoa_SRP Metazoan signal recognition particle RNA